CCGCGAGGGUAAGCGGAUCUCUUAAAGCUGUUCUCAGUUCGGACUGCAGGCUGCAACUCGCCUGCACGAAGCUGGAAUCGCUAGUAAUCGCGGAUCAGCACGCCGCGGUGAAUACGUUCCCGGGCCUUGUACACACCGCCCGUCACACCAUGGAAGGGGUGAAGUCGUAACAAGGUAGCCGUAGGAGAACCUGCGGCUGGAUCACCUCCUUUCUAAGGAA
rnacentral:rRNA from 1 species